UCUAUUGUUGACCGGUCAAUAAAUGUUUCAUUGUUGGCCGGUUGCCUCCUCGCCAAAGCAUGCAGUGAACAUGACGUUUUGUGCACCGACACGUGAUACGGUUAUGACCAAUCGGCAAACAGAAAAAUUGAACUUUGACACUAACUAUAUAACAACUGUAUUUAUUAAACUUCGCCAGUUACAGCUAUCACACUGUAUUUACAUUUUACAUUUUUUUACAUUUACAAAACAGUCGCAUGGCAGGGUACACGCAAC